UGACCAUUUGACACUUCUAGAU
rnacentral:siRNA from 1 species